AUACGUAGGUGGCAAGCGUUGUCCGGAAUUAUUGGGCGUAAAGCGCGCGCAGGUGGUUCCUUAAGUCUGAUGUGAAAGCCCCCGGCUCAACCGGGGAGGGUCAUUGGAAACUGGGGAACUUGAGUGCAGAAGAGGAUAGUGGAAUUCCAAGUGUAGCGGUGAAAUGCGUAGAGAUUUGGAGGAACACCAGUGGCGAAGGCGACUGUCUGGUCUGUAACUGACACUGAGGCGCGAAAGCGUGGGGAGCAAACAGGAUUAGAUACCCUGGUAGUCCACGCUGUAAACGAUGAGUGCUAAGUGUUGGGGGGUUUCCGCCCCUCAGUGCUGCAGCUAACGCAUUAAGCACUCCGCCUGGGGAGUACGGUCGCAAGGUUGAAACUCAAAUGAAUUGGCGGGG
rnacentral:rRNA from 1 species